rnacentral:lncRNA from 1 species
GCACUGUGGCAGGGUGACCUGGCAGGUGAUUUCCUGGUAGGGUGAUGGUGCCUCUACUUUCUCCCACAGACCCUGCCCCGGAUCUGCAGUGCGGGAGAAGGGCAGGCGUUUGCCUCUGCUCUGCAGCAGCUCUACACUGCAGUGACACAGCAGGAGGUCAAGCAGGCUCGGAAGCCGCAUUGCUCUGAGGAUGAUGUGGAUACAGCACCCACUGCAGAAACCACAAAGCACCCACCUUCACCUGCUGCAUCUCAGGAGGAUGAAACGACAUCUUCCAGUGAGAGAAACUCGCCAGCCUCCUCCCCAGCUCAGAAACCCCGGCUGUCUGCAGCCAAGGCCAAGCCAAAGAAGGCAAAAGGGCUCUUCAGCUGAAAGAUUGCUGCCAACCCUACUGAGGUCUCUGCUUCCCCCAGCAUCCAAGAGAGUUAGUGCAGAGAACCCAUGCACCAUCUGCCUCUUCUCUGCAUCUCCUCAUAGACCCUGCCCAGGUCAUGGUCCCCUCUCAAGAUGUCUCCAGUUGGGGAGAUGGAGCUCCUUUCUUCAACAGUAUUUCACAAAACAGCUUUUCUAUCUCUUCCCUGGUGCAGAGUUUGCCCAGGCUUCCUCUCAUGGCAGAACCACUGCUGGACCUGAGAGAAGUUGGAGGGAUGUUGCCAGUGGGUGUGGGACAGCUGGGCCUCUGGCAGAGCUGUGGGGUUUGGCUGCUUUUGAGUGGGUUUUCAAUAAAGGGCUGUGUAUGGGUGAGAUUCCCUCUCUUGCUCUGUCCCACCAGGCCUGUAGUGUCUAGGAAGAGAUGUAGCCUUUGGCUGCUGAGUCCUCCUCAGGCCAGUCCUGAUGUCCCAGGGGCGUGCAGUGACUCUGGACAGUGAGGUGACAGCAGCUCAUUGCUGUGGCACAGCACCCAGCUCCCAGCCAUUCUGUGCCUCACCCUGAGCAGCAGCAUGUGUUUUGGGGUGUGCACCAGAGGAUGCUCAGAUCAUGGGGACACAGUAUGCUCAGGGGGCUGGAGCCCAUGUUCUUGUCCCAUACCAGGAUACACAGCCUGUGUGCUGGUGCCUGCAGGGCUUUUGCAGGCUGGAAAAAGCCCUGGGUAGGCUGCAGGACACCCUACAUUUGCAGGCACCUCCACCAUAGUUACUGGGCAGGUGAUACAUGAUCAUGCUUUGGCCUCCAAGGAGCAGGAGACAGCCAAAACACUAACACACUGAAUGCUGCCAGGCGUGGGAGCAGCUCUGGAGCAGGUUACAGAUGCUCCCUGGCCACCAAACACCACAUCCAUCCUUUCACACUCCAUCCAUCCAUCCAUCCAUCCAUCCAUCCAUCCAUCCAUCCAUCCAUCCAUCUACUCCUGC